UCGGGCGGCCACAGCGGCGGGGCGCUCCCGUACCCAUCUCGAACACGGAAGAUAAGCCCGCCAGCGUUCCGGCAAGUACUGGAGUGGGAGACCCUCUGGAAACGCUGGUUCGCCGCCUCCA
rnacentral:rRNA from 1 species